GGACGGAUGGAUGCGAAGAGAGAGAGAGAUAGACGCAGCUGCUGUUGCGUGCUCACCCUCUCUCUGUCAGCUCUCUCUCCCCCUUGGAACUUGUUCCGCCAUCAGUCUACCCAUGCAUCUCCCCUUGCCGUUCGCAUCGCUUCGCAGCCAUCUUUGCCUGCAUCGAUUGUCGAGAAGAGCCAGGAUGAGGCUUUGUCUUGCUUGCUGUGUCCCCACAUGAGCCCUAUCUUGUCCGGAUUCCGACGGCCUAGCCCCCUGCUACUCGGAAUAAGGUACGCUGUGCGCAUGCACGCCAUGGAUUCUUGCGCCGGCCGCCACCAAUUCCUAUUCCUUUAAAUUUCGCCACUUUGGGAGUAGUCUCUCUCUCUCCCCUAGCCGUCUUUUCUUCUUUGCUUCUUCAAGGAUUAAUUAUCGCCUUGGGGAAGGGGGACGCGUGUUGAUUCGAUUAACGCAGGUGCUGUUAUUUUGCUCGACUCCCCAUGUGUGCUUAACGGAAAGCACUGUUUGACUAGUCCUUACCAUGUCCUUCUCCCUCCUCCUCCUCCUCAUCUUCCUCCUCCUGUAGUCCAUCCCCCCUCUCUCUCUUUGUUGCUUUAACUUUUUUUAGGAUCACGAAAUUUCCAUGGUUUUCUCCCCCUUUUGCUUCCUCAUCUCAUGUGCUGCUGUGAGAGGCAGGCAGGAAGGAGGCAGCUAUGGGUGCGGCGGCGGCAGAUCUACAACACUUGGCUGCAAGAGGAAAGCUGGCACAUAGCCGAUGGCAACGGCGCCUCCCAGAUCUGUGGGAACGAUCGAUGCACAUGCUACCUUCCAGGAGAUGAAGUGACUGCAUGGCGUCACACUUGUUGUUUGCUACUUUCAGUGAUAAGCUCCAUCCCCUCCUGACCCAAUCCUCCGUGUGGCAUAAGGUGGUCAUGCCUAUUGCUACAUAUCGGAAAAAGGUAUAAUAUCUGAAUAUUUUCUUAUAUAUGGUCAUUUUUUGGAUAAUUUUGCUAAUUCUUAUUAUUCUUGAUGUAGUUGUAGUUUUAGGAGAAGAUUUGUGUACAUGAAUUUGAUGCCACAGUUGAUUACACAGCAGCAUGCUCAAAACUCCUUAUGCAACAUUGGACCGAAGAAACUGCCAUGAAGGUGGGAACAGUCAUUGAGAAACAUGGUUUUGGAGGUAACAUAAUUGGAUCUUUUUUGUAUUUCCUACACUUGCUUUUUGUAUUAAUCGAGUUUAAUUUUCAUGCAAUAUCAGGUUGUCAAUGACCCAAAACAACCGUUCAAAUCUCCAAACAAUCAUUUUUGCUCUAAAAGGCUAUUUGAAUUUUUUGGCUCCUUCAAAUAUGGAAAGGUAGCCAUUCAGAACAAGAGGAUUGUUUUGAAGAUAUAAAAGGUUGUUUUUGGUCAUCAACAACCUGAUAUUGCAUGAAAAUAUAACUUACUAGUAAUAACUACAAACGGCACAUGUAGGGAAUACAAAAUAGCUCAAGUUUUUGUUACAUGUCCAACUCCAAAACCAUGCAUAUUUCUCACUAAUUGUUGCCACCUUCAUGGCCUUCUUUUCGGUCCAGUGCUGCAUAAGGGGUUUUGAAUCUUCAGUUUUGAAUUGUCGCGUCAAACUUGGGACACUCGCCUUCUCCCAAAAGCACAACGACAUCAUGAAGUACUAGAAUUAGCAAAAAUAUCGAGAAACUGAUCAUACAACAACAAAAUAUUCAGAUGGUUAUAGCCUUUUCCAACCUGUACCAAUGGAAGGUUCCCUGUCCAGCUUACAUUGUGGUGUAGUAAUCCUCUCUACGAGAUUCCUUUUUCUUUUUGUGCUUGUGUCUUGCAGCUUUUGUUGUGCUAUGGUUUGUGCCCUAGGUGACGGUUGUGCUUGUAUGGUUCUUGGCUUAUGUGUGGGUUGUUCCUUUACCCUAGCUUGUUGCUAAAUUCUCUUUCGGGUUAUAGGGUGAACCAUUGUGUUGAUGGUGUGGCGCCCUAUUUAUGGCGAAAGACUAGGGCCUUUUUGGGCGACGUAGACGUAUGUGCCCAUGGUUGGCCAUUUUGGAACGAAGGACCCGUCCCUAAUGAGAUGGCGCCUCCCCCGACAUUUUUUUGUGCGACUGCAGGUGUUGACCAUGGUGGUGGAUGAUGGCCUUGGCAUUUCAAGACUCCUUCUAUUUUCUUUGAUUUACUUGUUUUUGCAUUUGUAUGUGGGCUAUUUCGUAGGUAUUGAGCGUCUGUUGUUUGGGGAUUUAUUAAUUUAUGAAGUUGGGCAUACAAAGUAGAACAAUUUGCUAUUAUUAGACACCAACAUAUGUAGAAAUAAAUAUGUACUAUUUUAGUCUAUAUUUUUAGUUUGUGAGACCAAUAUGUAUUUCAUUUUUAUUGUUGCGUUAAGUUCUAUGACUAACAGGAACUUAAAUUGUCCAACAUAAUAAAUUGUCUAGGUAGAAACCUGGGUUAACAGAUAUUGGAUGCAAAAAUAUGAUUGGUGGUUAUAUUUUUCAAUGAUAAAUAAAUCAAUGAUUGUCGAAUGCUUAGUGCUUGAAAUUGUUUCUAUCAAGUAUCUGCGUUCGUUCUCAUAAUAACACUGAGUUUUCAUUUUUAGUCGAUUUUAAAACUUAGGACAAGCACAACACGCACUCCACAUACUGGUAUUGUAUUUUAAAAAUAAUUAAUGAUGCAUGUUUAUUUGAUUGUUGUCACGUCGCAAACCGAAGUCCUAUACUAACCAAAAUAUCUGUAUUCUCGCUUCCCAAAAACUAUCAUGGUCUGUAUUUUUCUUCCAUUGGCAUGAAGACUUGCUGCAUAUUUUCUAUCAUGGCCUUCAUUGUAAAAUAUCUAUCUCUUACAGGAAUAUUCGAGAUGUUUGCUCCAUACCUAUAUUAUGAUCAAUGCGGUUGAUUUAAACAUUUUAUCAGCAUCUUUAAGUGCAUGCUAAGGUUUUCAUCUGAUGAGAAUCUCUGGUUAAGUUCAAGUACAAGAAAUUAAUAAAUCUUUUUAGCAUUCGGAGGUCUCCUUUAAUUAGUAUCUCACUGCUGUAGGAUUGCAUACUUUUGCUUCGUAUUGUUAUGCAGAGUGAGUAAACAUACUACUUCAGUGUAUUUAUGAUUUUAAGACGUUGAUCUGAUCUAACUAUGUAUAUAUUGUUGCAAGAGGCAACUUUGUUGACAUAUUUGAUACUUUUCGCAUCUUAAAUUUUGGAUUCUACGUACUCCAGCAUGCCUACAGAGAUGGUGUUUUAUGAUCAGUCUAGAUUAUUCACAUCUUUAUCUGGAAAUGUGUAGGGAAAAGUUGGAGCAGAACAAAAUAAUUAACCACCUACAGCGAAGUAAUGUGAUUAAAAGGAGAAAGUUGUGCCGCCAAGCCUCGGAAACUUUGUGCCAAUUUGGUGAAUCCAUGGUGUCACUAUCUAUCAUGAAUUCCAGUUGCCCUUUCUGGUGUUCAUGAUUUGUCUUCUCAUGAAAUAUAGCAUAAACAGAAUGAUCUUUUGUUCCGUGCAAUUGGAGAGAAUAUUGCAAGUUAUGGGGAGCAUAAUCCUUUUUCUUAUUGUAGUUUCCUGAUCAAGUCUUGUAAGCUUCAGAUUUUGAGUACCAAUAUCUGUUGGUAUAUGCCCUCCAUCUCAAUGAAGAAGUGUGCAGUUUAUCCUGAAGAAUAGACACAGUUUUCUUCCGUCUCAUGAACAUCUUCCGUCUGGUUUGGUAAGCUAGCGUAAA